CCUGUCAAGAUAUUCCCCGGCCAUGCUCACACAAACUAUUCCAGUACCAUGCUUCACAAUAAAAGCCAUAGCUUCAGGUGUUGCCAACUCUGCUGCCAUGAUAACAUCCCCUUCAUUUUCUCUGUCUUCAUCAUCUACAACCACUACCAUCUUUCCUUGACGAAUAUCUUCAAUGGCCUCAGGGAUGGAGGAAAAACCUUCCGUGGGGCGAUCCAAAUCAAACUCAUCAUUAUCGAUGGGAAAAUCAUUGGGGAUGGGAGCAGUAUCUGCCCCAAGAGUUCCAAAUGCUAUUGCGUCAGGCUGUAAUUUA
rnacentral:misc_RNA from 1 species